rnacentral:rRNA from 1 species
AAAGGAAAAUCAAAGCAGCCCCCUGGGGGGGGGCGGGCGAAAGGGGGGAAGGCCCAAACAAAACCCCUGAGGGAAAACCGGUGGGGGGUUGGGGGGUGGGGACUCCCGGGUGGGGUUAAACCCCGGGAAAGCUUUUUUAGGGGAGGCGAAGGGGGGGGGAAAGCCCCGCCGUAGAGGGUGAUAGCCCCGUAGACUAAACCAUAGAGGCUUGCACCGUGGAGUAGAGUACCACGGCUUGGUUUUGCCGUGGGAAACUGGGGGUCAUCGACCUCCAAGGCUAAACACGUCUCGAGACCGAUAGUGAACUAAGUACCGUGAGGGAAAGCUGAAAAGAACCCCGCAAGGGGUGUGAAAAGAGCCUGAAACCGAGCGGUUACAAACGAUGCCGCCCGAAAGAAAUGAAGUUCUCCGAAGGAAACCAGGGUGACCUGGGAGUACGGGGAGAACUGAUCAGGGUGGCAUCGUCCGUCUUGAAACACGGGCCGGGGAGUCCACGAUAGUGGCGAGCUUAAGGGGGACAAAGCCCCGUAGGCGUAGGGAAACCGAUAAGCCCGCAGCCGGGUUAUCCCGGUGAGGGGCAGGGUCUGAAAAGGGCCCGGAGUCACUAUCGUGGGACCAGAAACCGGGCGAUCUAGGCGGGGGCAGGGUGAAGCCGGGGGAAACCUCGGUGGAGGCCCGAAAGAGUUCUGACGUGCAACUCGUUUCCAUGACCCCCGUCUAGGGGCAAAAGACCAAUCUAGCCCGGUGAUAGCUGGUUCCCGCCGAAGUGGGUCUCAGCCCAGCCCCGCCAGAGGCGGGCUACGGGGUAGAGCUACGGAUUAGGAGUGCGGAGGCCGAGAGGCCUCGGCUCCUAGUCCAACUCCGAACCCGUAGUCACCGUAGAAGGCGGGAGUGGGGUGCUCGGGGUAAGCCUGAGCACCGAGACGGGAACAACCGAGACCGGGGUUAAGGCCCCUAAAUGCUGGCUAAGUGCCAAUCUUAAAGGGUGUUCUGUGGCUUAGACAGCGGGGAGGUUGGCCUAACAGCAGCCAUCCUUUAAAGAGUGCGUAACAGCUCACCCGCCGAGCCACAGAGCCCCGAAGAUUGGUCGGGGCUUAAGCCAGCUGCCGAGACCCCGGGGCACUGCUCCGCUGGAGCAGUGAUCCAGUAGGCGGGCGCCGGGUCGGGGCAGAAGCUGGACUGUGAAGUCCAGUGGACCCGAUCCGGGUGAAGAUCCCGGCGGCAGUAACAGCGAAGAGGGGUGGGAAUCCCCUCCGCCGGAAAGGGCUAGGGUUCCUCGGCAACGGUCGUCGGCCGAGGGUUAGCCGGUCCUAACCCAGCCCUCAACAAGGAGCUGGGGAAAGGGAAACGGGUUAAUAAUCCCGUGCCGUGGAGGUAGGUGCGGCAACGCAAGCCCUGCCUCCGACGCUUCUGGAUAGGCGGACUGGGGGCGGUUGAAUAGCCGCGACCCAGUUAACUGGUGAAGGCCCCGGAGUACCGUCACGGUGAGAAGGGGCUGAAGCCAGGAAUAGGGCUCGUAUGAGCCUUCCGCCGACUCCAGGAGCCCUUGAAAAGGGGGCAGGGAACGAUCCUCCACGACCGUACCGAGAACCGACACAGGUGCCCCUGGGUGAGUAGCCCAAGGCGUGUGGGGGUUAAUCCGGGCCAGGGAACUCGGCAAAUUAGCCCCGUAACUUCGGGAGAAGGGGUGCCUGCAGUCUUAGGGCAAACCCCUGGGGCUGCAGGUCGCAGUGACAAGGGGGACCCGACUGUUUAAUAAAAACAUAGGUCCCCGCAAGCCCGUAAGGGUGUGAACGGGGGCUGAAUCCUGGCCACUGGCGGUCCGUGAAGCCAGGGUUCAACCUGGUGAAGCGCCGCUGAAGGCCGGGGGUAACUCUGACCCUCUUAAGGUAGCCAAAUGCCUUGCCGGGUAAGUUCCGGCGCGCAUGAAUGGAUCAACGUGGUCCCCACUGUCCUGGCCCGGAGCCCCGUGAAUACACGGAGCCGGUGCACAGGCCGGCAACCCCCUGCUGGGCGAUAAGUCCCUGUGGAGCUUUACCGCAGCCUGGCGUUGGCUUCUGGGUUAUAGUGCGUAGUGUAAGUGGGAGCCUGUGAAACAACGCCUUUGGGUGUUGUUGAGGCGGCAAUGAAACACCACUCACUGUAACCUAGAAGCCUCACUCCUGGGUAAUCCGGGGGGACAACGCCAGGUGGGCGGUUCGGCUGGGGCGGCACACCCGCAAAAAGGUAACACGGGUGCCCAAAGGUCGGCUCAGACGGGUCAGAAACCCGUCGUAGAGUGCAAGGGCAAAAGCCGGCCUGACCGAACCCUUGAAAACAAGGGGUUCGGCCGGGAAACCGAGGCCUAGCGAACGCUCGUGCCCCCAUCGAUGGGGGCCGGGCAUGACAGAAAAGUUACCCCAGGGAUAACAGGGUCGUCGCGGGCGAGAGCCCCCAUCGACCCCGCGGUUUGCUACAUCGAUGUCGGCUCUUCCCAUCCUGGGGGUGCAGCAGCCCCCAAGGGUGGGGCUGCCCGCCCAUUAAAGGGGAACGUGAGCUGGGUUCAGACCGUCGUGAGACAGGUCGGGCUCUACCCGCAGGGGGCGCGGGCCGCCUGAGGGGAAGCUGCCCUCAGUACGAGAGGAACGGGGUGGCGCGGCCUCUAGUGUACCGGUUGUCCUGGUGGGCAACGCCGGGCAGCCACGCCGCAGGGGAUAACCGCUGAAAGCAUCUAAGCGGGAAGCCCCUCCCGAGACGAGGCGGCCUUCCAUCGGGGCUCGUGCCCCGGUGGUACGGGCUCCCGUAGAAGACGGGGUUGAUGGAGUAGGGGUGUAAGCUCCGAGGGGGUUUCCCCGAGGAGUUCAGCCCGCUACUCCCAAUCGCCCGAAAACCAUGGUU